rnacentral:rRNA from 1 species
UACGGGGGGGCAAGCGUUGUUCGGAAUUACUGGGCGUAAAGGGCGCGUAGGCGGUUCGCUAAGUCGGAUGUGAAAACUCUGGGCUCAACCCAGAGCCUGCAUCCGAAACUGGCGGGCUAGAGUUCUGGAGGGGGUAGCGGAAUUCCUGGUGUAGCGGUGAAAUGCGUAGAUAUCAGGAGGAACACCGGUGGCGAAGGCGGGUCUCUGGGCCGAUACUGACGCUGAGGAGCGAAAGCGUGGGGAGCGAACAGG